rnacentral:rRNA from 1 species
GACGAACGCUGGCGGCGUGCUUAACACAUGCAAGUCGAACGGAAAGGCCCUGCUUUUGCGCGGUGCUCGAGUGGCGAACGGGUGAGUAACACGUGAGUAAACUGCCCUUGACUUUCGGAUAACUUUAGGAAACUGCGGCUAAUACAGGAUAGGAGCUCUUGCUGCACGGUGGGGGUUGGAGAGUUUCGGCGGUUCGGGAUGGACUCGCAGCUUAUCAGCUUGUUUGUGGAGUAGUGGCUUACCAAGGUUUUGACGGAUAGCCGGCCUGAGAGGUUUACCGGCCACAUGGGGACUACGAUACGGACCAGACUCCUACGGGAGGCAGCGGUGGGAAGUAUGACACAGUGAGCGCAAGCGUGAUGCAGCGACGCCGCGUGCGGGAUGACGGCCUUCUGGUUGUAAACCGCUUUGGCAUGUGACGAAGCGGGAGUGACGGUAAUGGGUAAAGAAGCAACGGCUAACUACGUG